rnacentral:rRNA from 1 species
GACGAACGCUGGCGGCGUGCUUAACACAUGCAAGUCGAACGAAGUGGCGAACGGGUGAGUAACACGUGAGUAACUGCCCUUGACUCUGGGAUAACCUCCGGAAACGGAAGCUAAUACCGGAUAAGGAUGGACUCGCGGCCUAUCAGGUAGUUGGUGAGGUAACGGCCCACCAAGCCUACGACGGGUAGCCGGCCUGAGAGGGGACCGGCCACACUGGGCUGAGACACGGCCCAGACUCCUACGGGAGGCAGCAGUGGGGAAUAUUGCACAAUGGGCGCAAGCCUGAUGCAGCAACGCCGCGUGAGGGAUGACGGCCUUCGGGUUGUAAACCUCUUUUAGUAGGGAAGCGGUACCUGCAGAAAAAGCACCGGCUAACUACGUGCCAGCAGCCGCGGUAAUACGUAGGGUGCGAGCGUUGUCCGGAAUUAUUGGGCGUAAAGAGCUUGUAGGCGGUCUGUCGCGUCUGCUGUGAAAACCCGAGGCUCAACCUCGGGCCUGCAGUGGGUACGGGCAGACUAGAGUGCGGUAGGGGAGAAUGGAAUUCCUGGUGUAGCGGUGGAAUGCGCAGAUAUUAGGAGGAACACCGAUGGCGAAAGCAGUUCUCUGGGCCGUAACCGACGCUGAGGGGCGAAAGGUGGGGAGCGAACAGGAUUAGAUACCCUGGUAGUCCACGCCGUAAACGUUGGGCGCUAGAUGUGGGGCCGUGUCGCAGCU